AUUGAACGCUGGCGGCAUGCCUUACACAUGCAAGUCGAACGGCAGCACGGGAGCAAUCCUGGUGGCGAGUGGCGAACGGGUGAGUAAUAUAUCGGAACGUGCCCAGUCGUGGGGGAUAACGUAGCGAAAGCUACGCUAAUACCGCAUACGAUCUAUGGAUGAAAGCGGGGGAUCGCAAGACCUCGCGCGAUUGGAGCGGCCGAUAUCAGAUUAGGUAGUUGGUGAGGUAAAGGCUCACCAAGCCGACGAUCUGUAGCUGGUCUGAGAGGACGACCAGCCACACUGGGACUGAGACACGGCCCAGACUCCUACGGGAGGCAGCAGUGGGGGAAUUUUUGGACAAUGGGCGCAAGCCUGAUCCAGCAAUGCCGCGUGCAGGAUGAAGGCCUCGGUUGUAACUAGCUUUGUUACGGUAACGAACGGUAGGAG
rnacentral:rRNA from 1 species